rnacentral:rRNA from 1 species
UUAGGAAUAUUCGUCAAUGGGGGAAACCCUGAACGAGCAAUGCCGCGUGAACGAUGAAGGCCCUAUGGGUUGUAAAGUUCUGUUGUUUGGAGCGAAUAGCUAGGAGAGGAAAUGCUCUUAGUCUGACGGUACCAUUCAAGAAAGCCACGGCUAACUACGUGCCAGCAGCCGCGGUAAUACGUAGGUGGCGAGCGUUAUCCGGAUUUAUUGGGCGUAAAGCGUGCGCAGGCGGUUUGUUAAGUCUAAAAUUAAAUCCCGAAGCUUAACUUCGGUUCGUUUUAGAAACUGGCAGGCUUGAGUAUGGUAGAGGCAAACGGAAUUUCUAGUGUAGCGGUAAAAUGCGUAGAUAUUAGAAGGAACACCAGUGGCGAAGGCGGUUUGCUGGGCCAUUACUGACGCU